GUUCGUGGUGUUGCUUGCUGUGUCACUGAGAAUUAUUGUUUGUUUGUCUUUUUGAUUUGUUUCUUGUACUGUUGAGAGUACAUAAAUUAUAAUAAGGUUGUUGAGAGUACCUUUUGUUUCGGGAUAUUUUUUCUCCAGUUUAGUUGUGUAAGUUAUGUGUAUUAAGUAAUAAUUUUUAUUAUCCUUAUUAUGUUUGUUAUAUGUUUUUAUUUUAUUUUUAAACUUGUUGCUUUUACCGGAUCUUUAAAACAAAUACAUGAAGACUUGUAGAAAUAACUAUAAAAUGAUUGACAAUUAUGAGCAUUUGAGCCUU
rnacentral:lncRNA from 1 species